rnacentral:rRNA from 1 species
GACGAACGCUGGCGGCGUGCUUAACACAUGCAAGUCGAACGGUAAGGCCCUUCGGGGUACACGAGUGGCGAACGGGUGAGUAACACGUGGGUGAUCUGCCCUGCACUUCGGGAUAAGCCUGGGAAACUGGGUCUAAUACCGGAUAGGACCACUGCCUGCAUGGGUGGUGGUGGAAAGCUUUUGCGGUGUGGGAUGGGCCCGCGGCCUAUCAGCUUGUUGGUGGGGUGAUGGCCUACCAAGGCGAGGACGGGUAGCCGGCCUGAGAGGGUGACCGGCCCAGAGGGGGCGAGGGGAAGGACAAGACUCCUUCGGGAGGCAGCGGUGGGGAAUCUUGCGGAUUGGGCGCAAGCCUGAUGCAGCGACGCCGCGUGAGGGAGGACGGCCUUCGGGUUGUAAACCUCUUUCAGCACCGACGAAGCGCAAGUGACGGUAGGUGCAGAAGAAGGACCGGCCAACUAUGUGCCAGCCGCCGCGGUAA